AAACCUGUCCCUAGUACGAGAGGACCGGGACGGACGAACCUCUGGUCUACCAGUUGUCCCACCAGGGGCACCGCUGGAUCGCCACGUUCGGACAGGAUAACCGCUGAAAGCAUCUAAGCGGGAAACCCCCUCCAAGACCAGGCUUCUCACCCAUCAAGUGGGAUAAGGCCCCCCGCAGACCACGGGAUCAAUAGACCAGACCUGCACACCCAGCAAUGGACAAAGGGAACUGGCACUAACCGGCCGAAAACUUAC
rnacentral:rRNA from 1 species